rnacentral:rRNA from 1 species
UGGGGAAUUUUGGACAAUGGGCGAAAGCCUGAUCCAGCAAUGCCGCGUGUGUGAAGAAGGCCUUCGGGUUGUAAAGCACUUUUGUCCGGAAAGAAAUCCUUGGCUCUAAUACAGUCGGGGGAUGACGGUACCGGAAGAAUAAGCACCGGCUAACUACGUGCCAGCAGCCGCGGUAAUACGUAGGGUGCAAGCGUUAAUCGGAAUUACUGGGCGUAAAGCGUGCGCAGGCGGUUUGCUAAGACCGAUGUGAAAUCCCCGGGCUCAACCUGGGAACUGCAUUGGUGACUGGCAGGCUAGAGUAUGGCAGAGGGGGGUAGAAUUCCACGUGUAGCAGUGAAAUGCGUAGAGAUGUGGAGGAAUACCGAUGGCGAAGGCAGCCCCCUGGGCCAAUACUGACGCUCAUGCACGAAAGCGUGGGGGAGCAAAACAGGAUUAGAUACCCUGGUAGUCCACGCCCUAAACGAUGUCAACUAGUUGUUGGGGAUUCAUUCCUUAGUAACGUAGCUAACGCGUGAAGUUGACCGCCUGGGGAGUACGGUCGCAAGAUUAAAACUUCAAAUGAAUUG